GACUUACUAUAUGCCACAGUGUGGCAGUGUGGUUAGCUGGUUGUUAAUUAUAAUUUCAACCAUCUGAUCAUCUGCCUAUACAGUGACAUAACCAAUCAUCC